GUUUCUCCAACAGGGUUCGUAGCCAACUACUUAUAUAAAACUAAAUGACUUUAAUAAGAAUUGUUGUGUGUCAGUCCCAGAAAUUGAAUACACACCUGCAAAUUUCAUAAUUAAUAAAAAUAUUAUGAAUCCAUUAGCAAGUAUAUAUUUUGAUCAUUAAAAGUUUGGCCCUCUGUCUUUAAUUUUAUCUGUUUUAUUAGUGAUUGUUGUAUUUACUUUCAUAAAUUCUAAAUAUAAUAUAUAAUUAGUUAUAUAGUUUCUUAAUAAUAUAAUUAACUUUAUUGUUUCAAGAUAAAGUUGUAUCCUUGAAAGAUAUGCUGAUAUUUGGCACAAGGGGCAAGCAUUGAAGUGCAACUUGUUGAACUACAAAAUACAUCAAAUUCAGUUAUAAAAAUUUGAGUAUCAAAGGUAUGCUAAUUAUUGUAUUGCCCGAAAGAGUGUCAUUGCCAAUUAAAAGCAGUGAAGAAUUCAAGUACUCUGGAAGAAAAAAGACAAGAAAACACUUCAGUAAAUGGCUGUGUAUUUUUGCAAGUUAAUUAUUUGGCACAAAUUGGAGUUAAAGACGAAGGAGAUUGUAUAUGUUAUUUACUAAGAAUAGUUUAUUAAAAUGGCCUAGCUGUAAAAUUAAAUUAUGCAGGGAGAGGAUAAAAAAUUGGAAUAGGAAAAAUGUUGAUUGCAUAUGCUGCUAUUGAAACUGUGAAGUCAAUUAAACAUGGCUUAUGCAGACAUGAGAUAGAGAUAGCGGAAGAAAAAAUAAUAAUCGUGGGCACCAAAUAUCAUAAGUUAAACACGAUUCAAUAACAAGUAGCUCAGUCAAUAUCGAAACUACACUAUAAAUUUUAUAGUGAAUUUUUUUAUUUAAAACUCAAUGUGUCAGUUUUUGGUAUAAGUUUGGUGUUUGCAAUAUGUAUAUUUAACCG